rnacentral:rRNA from 1 species
GGCUGAAAGAUGGCGUAAGCUAUCGCUUUUGGAUGGACCCGCGGCGUAUUAGCUAGUUGGUGAGGUAAUGGCUCACCAAGGCGAUGAUACGUAGCCGAACUGAGAGGUUGAUCGGCCACAUUGGGACUGAGACACGGCCCAAACUCCUACGGGAGGCAGCAGUAGGGAAUCUUCCACAAUGGACGCAAGUCUGAUGGAGCAACGCCGCGUGAGUGAAGAAGGCUUUCGGGUCGUAAAACUCUGUUGUUGGAGAAGAAUGGUCGGCAGAGUAACUGUUGUCGGCGUGACGGUAUCCAACCAGAAAGCCACGGCUAACUACGUGCCAGCAGCCGCGGUAAUACGUAGGUGGCAAGCGUUAUCCGGAUUUAUUGGGCGUAAAGCGAGCGCAGGCGGUUUUUUAAGUCUGAUGUGAAAGCCCUCGGCUUAACCGAGGAAGCGCAUCGGAAACUGGGAAACUUGAGUGCAGAAGAGGACAGUGGAACUCCAUGUGUAGCGGUGAAAUGCGUAGAUAUAUGGAAGAACACCAGUGGCGAAGGCGGCUGUCUGGUCUGUAACUGACGCUGAGGCUCGAAAGCAUGGGUAGCGAACAGGAUUAGAUACCCUGGUAGUCCAUGCCGUAAACGAUGAAUGCUAGGUGUUGGAGGGUUUCCGCCCUUCAGUGCCGCAGCUAACGCAUUAAGCAUUCCGCCUGGGGAGUACGACCGCAAGGUUGAAACUCAAAGGAAUUGACGGGGGCCCGCACAAGCGGUGGAGCAUGUGGUUUAAUUCGAAGCAACGCGAAGAACCUUACCAGGUCUUGACAUCUUUUGAUCACCUGAGAGAUCAGGUUUCCCCUUCGGGGGCAAAAUGACAGGUGGUGCAUGGUUGUCGUCAGCUCGUGUCGUGAGAUGUUGGGUUAAGUCCCGCAACGAGCGCAACCCUUAUGACUAGUUGCCAGCAUUUA